ACGUUACUAUAGUCUAGAACACACUACUCCUUCGGGCUAGGCAUACACCUGAACACCUGAAUUCUGGAGCGUGUCUCUACCAUGUGUGCAUUCCUGGGUUUGCUUCCCAACACCACAAAGGGGGGGAGAGAGAGAGAGAGAGAGAGAGAGAGAGAGAGAGAGAGAGAGAGAGAGAGAGAGAGAGAGAGAGAGAGAGAGAACAAAACCUUAAGCUCUCAGUGUCGGCAGUAUGAACACAAACCAGAACACACUAAACUUUUCCCGAGGCAGAGUCCAGUCGACGACUUUAUGACAAUCUUCCUGGAUGGAGUUUGCCUAAUACCUUCCAGUUGGUCAUGAGACAGUCAGGGGACUGAAAAUGUGUCACUUGAUUAAGUUUUUCAGGCUGAUAACAAGAAGGCUACUGUGUUAUGACAAAUUUGCUACCUUCUAUAACCGAGCAACGUGUUGAAUCUUGGGGAAUACUACAAAAUAUGGAUCAACAUGUGUGGUGAUGUAUCUGAUGGUUUCUGCAAGUCAGAGUUGCUUUUGAAUGAGCCCUAGUAUAGGAUCCAUUUCACUUUGGCUCUAGGACACACACAGCAGACCCCCCUUGUCCGCUGGCUCUUACAAUCUCUACGACUCUCUUUCAAGAUUAUCCCUGAGCCCUGGGUACAUGGAGUGUGUUGCAGGUGUAUUCACACCACCACAAAAUAGACACUCUACUUGGUGAGGGCUGAGAGCUUCAUUAUCUGUGGGUAUAAGACCCCUUCUUCUUAUUUUCCCAUUUCCUCUUUCUAUCACUUUUAUCCUGCUAUUUCCCUUCUCUAAAGAUCCCCCACCAAAUGCGCUAUGCAGCCCCAUGUGGGGCUAGGACCCACAGUGUAGGAAGUGUGGCUACAGAUGAUUUGAAGGAUGUGGGAGGAUGUGAAUUGGCUAUAUCCAAGUAGCAUGCCUUCUAAAAAGUCCCUGGAGCACCUGAGGACUCCGAUUUCCAUGGGAAAGAAUAUGUGGCUUUUUCUGAAGCCCUGCCAGGCCUGGAUCAGCCUAGGGACAAGGGGGCCUGUGGGUUACUGCACACACUAUCGUGCGCGAUCCUCAUCACAGAGUCUAGUCUGCGUUUGUGAGAGUGCACGUGUGCUGUGGACAAGGACAUGAAGUACCUGUUUCAUCGUUAGAUGUUGAUGCUUAUCGUCCUAUUUCUCUGGAAUCUGGCAUGCGAGACUUUUAAGAUGACCUACUAAGAUAAGUGUCCAAGUGACACGUAUUAAAGACAAAACAUGCAGUCUGACGAAAAGGGCUGAAGAUGAAAAAUGGGGAGUCGCUUUCUUCUCUAUGGUCUCUUGUUUCCCACUUUGAACCCAUAGACUUGAUUUAUCCUUAGGUCAGUUCUCGUUUAUUGUAAUAAACAGUUCUGUGCAUUGCAGUGAGUGAAAGAAGAUAUAAUUUAAAAUUCUUUGCUGGGAAUACCCAGUAAGUGUAUCAGAACACACAAUAAAGGCUUUUAAAAAAUAAA